rnacentral:rRNA from 1 species
AAGCGGGAUUACCCCCUGAAUUUAAGCAUAUUACUAAGGGGAGGAAAAGAACAUAACUAUGAUGCCCUCAGUAACGGCGAGUGAAGCGGGCAGAGCUCAAGUUGAGAAUCGGUCAGGCCAGCGUCUGUACCGAGAUGUAGAGUUUCGACGUGGUGUCAGCGAGUUGUAUGGAGUCAAGUCCUUUGAAACAAGGUAUCCGAGAGGGUGAGAAUCCCGUUGUCGAUCAGCUCUAUACCAAGCCGCGUACGACCCAUGCUCCGAGAGUCGAGUUGUUUGGGAUUGCAGCUCUAAGUGGGUGGUAAGUUUCAUCCAAAGCUAAAUACAGGCGAGAGACCGAUAGCGAACAAGUACCGUGAGGGAAAGAUGCAAAGAACUUUGAAAAGAGAGUUAAAUAGUACUUGAAAUUGUUAAGAGGGAAGCGAUAGAAACUAGUCGAGCGAGCGUCAAUUUGCGCUCGGAUCGUUGAACGCCCUGGUCAGAGAUUGGUAACUCUUCUCGAGCCUUGGCCGUUCGAUGAGCCGUGCGUUUCUGUGGUGCUCCACGGGUCAGCAUGGGUUCGACGCGUACGAUACGGUGUUGGGGAAGGUAGAGUGUGCUUCGGUACACUUGUUAUAGCCCUUGCACUCUAGUACGUGUUGGACUGAGGAUUGGUUGUACGCCACAUGGCAUGACUACGGUCAUUGUACAACUGGAUGCUGACGAAAUGGUUUCUAUCGACCCGUCUUGUAACACGGACCAAG